rnacentral:rRNA from 1 species
AUUGAACGCUAGCGGGAUGCUUUACACAUGCAAGUCGAACGAGUGGCGGACGGGUGAGUAAUAUAGCGGAACGUGCCCAGUAGCGGGGGAUAACUACUCGAAAGAGUGGCUAAUACCGCAUAGUAUUGGAGAGGCCGAGAUCGGAUUAGCUAGUGGGUGGGGUAAAGGCUCACCAAGGCAACGAUCCGUAGCGGGUUUGGGCGGGCGACCAGCAACACUGUGACUGAGACACGGCCGAGAUUCCUCGGGGAGGCAGCAGUGGGGAAUUUUGGACAAUGGGGGAAACCCUGAUGCGGCCAUCCCGCGUGUAUGAGAAGGCCUUCGGGUUGUAAAGUACUUUUGGCGGAGAAGCGGUAUCUGCAGAAUAAGCACCGGCUAACUACGUGCCAGCAGCCGCGGUAAUAC